AUUGAGUGCAGCACUUUCACAGCAUCAUCUUUCAGGAUUUGAAAUAGCUCAACUGGAAUUCCAUCACCUCCACUAGCUUUGUUCGUAGUGAUGCUUUCUAAGGCCCACUUGACUUCACAUUCUAGGAUGUCUGGCUCUAGAUGAGUGAUCACACCAUCGUGAUUAUCCGGGUCUUGAAGAUCCUUUUUGUACAGUUCUGUGUAUUCUUGCCACCUCUUCUUAAUAUCUUCUGCUUCUGUUAGGUCCAGACCAUUUCUGUCCUUUAUCGUGCCAAAGCUGGAUUUAAAUAGAAACUCAACCAUAAAUGCACUAAAAGGUAACUCCUUCCAUGAAGCAUGAGAUAGGUAUAGAGGUCAGCUGAGGUUACUCUACUGGAGGCUUACUCAUUUAUUCAGCAAAUGUUGGGUGCCUAGUUCUCUGGUGGCCACUAGGAAUACAGUGGUAAAUAAGACAAAUGAAGUUCCUGCCCUCCUAGAAUAUACAGCCUAGUAGAAUAGGCAGGUAAGAAGCAAAUAACUACAUCAUUGAAUGACACUUUAAAUGGAAAGGUAGAAUGGGCUGGGCUGGUCAGAGAAAGCCUCUCUUAGAGAAAACCAUGUUUAAGCUGAGCCACACAGUCUGAACACAAAGUAACCAAGAGAAGCAGGUUUGGGGACCAGUUUAUUCAGAGAGAACAGCAGGGUGUAGGCACCUUUAGAGCAAUAUACUCAGUUCUGUCAUGACUAAAUAUGCCUAAACUUUUACGGCAGAUGCAACCUGUUUUAACCUCCAAGACAGAUGUGGUGUUAUACUGAUAAUAGAUUCAUUAUUUAAUAAACCAAAGGGAACGGUUGUACAUAGCAGAGGGAACAGUUUGAAAAGCCACUUACAGUUGUCAUCAAGUUCCAGGUAUGCUGAAAGACAGUAAACAGCUAAUCUCAUCUCUAUUGUUGUUUAGUCACUAAGUCACAUCCAACUCUUUGUGACUUCAUGGAUUGCAGCCUAUCAGGCUUCUCUGUCCAUGGGAUUUCUCCAGGCAAGAAUAUUGGAGUGGGUUGCCAUUUCCUUCUCCAGGGAAUCUUUCUGACCCAGAGAUCGAACUUGCGUCUCCUGAAUUGGCAGGGGGAUUCUUUACCACUGAGCCACCAGGGGAGCCCAAUCUCAUCUCUACUGUAUCCUAGAAUUACACUGUCCAAUAAGAAAACCAAGGCUGCGCCUGUAAUACAAGUGGACUUUCUCCAUUUAGCCUGGUACUUUCAACUGAAUAUAACGUGGUCCAGUAGAGAUAUCCACCAACUGAGUCCACCACCAUAUCAUUUACCAGCAACUUCACGUUCUCCAAGACUGAGCUCAUCUCCCUUGUCAGUAUCAACCAUCCAAAUGUGA
rnacentral:lncRNA from 1 species